UACGAAGGGUGCAAGCGUUAUUCGGAGUGAUUGGGCGUAAAGGGUGCGUAGGCGGUGCACUAAGUCAACUGUUAAAUACCUCGGCCUAACUGAGGAUCGGCGGUUGAUACUGGUGUGCUUGAGGAUGGAAGAGAGAAGUGGAAUUCUCGGAGUAGCGGUAAAAUGCGUAGAUCUCGAGAGGAACACCAAUGGCGAAGGCAGCUUCUUGGUCCAUAUCUGACGCUGAUGCACGAAAGCGUGGGGAGCAAACAGG
rnacentral:rRNA from 1 species